GCUGGGCAUGGUGGCGCAUGCCUGUAAUCCCAGCUACUCAGGAGGCUGAGGCAGGAGAAUUGCCUGAACCCAGGAGGUGGAGGUUACAGUGAGCCGAGAUCGCGCCAUUGCACUCCAGCCUGGGUAACAAGAGCGAAACUCCGUCUCAAAAAAAAAGAAGAAACAGAGUGUCACUCUGUUGCCAGGCUGGAGUGCAUUGGAGCAAUCUCAGCUCACUGCAACCUCCGCCUCCUGGAUUCAAGCAAUUCCUCUCCUGCCUCAG
rnacentral:SRP_RNA from 13 species